GUAACGCGUAGAUAACCUGUCUUCAUGUCUGAAUAAUAACGACCGAAAGGGUACUAAUACGGAUAUUCUUGCUUUUCAUAAGUUAUGCAAGCAAAGGUGGCCUCUGCAUAUGCUACUGCAUGAAGAGGGGUCUGCGUACCAUUAGCUAGUAGGUGGGGUAAUGGCCUACCUAGGCGACGAUGGUUAGCGGGUCUGAGAGGAUGAUCCGCCACACUGGCACUGGAACACGGGCCAGACUCCUACGGGAGGCAGCAGUGAGGAAUAUUGCGCAAUGGGGGAAACCCUGACGCAGCGACGCCGCGUGAGUGAAGGAAGGCCUUCGGGUCGUAAAGCUCUGUCAAGAGGAAAGAAGUGUACAAUGGCUAAUACCUGUUGUAUUUGACGGUACCUCUAAAGGAAGCACCGGCUAACUCCGUGCCAGCAGCCGC
rnacentral:rRNA from 1 species